UUGAAUAGUAUUGGGCGCUGUGCUGGCCUUCGGGCAUGUGCACGCGUCUCAACUCUAUAUUAUCUUUUGUGCACCUAGUGUGGGCUUUUGUUGUUGUGAAGCAGCUUUCGGGUUGUGGAACGGCUUCAGAAGACCAUUUUUUAUAUCCUUUUAAACAAGUUAAUAGAAUGUCCUCGUUAUUGACGCAAGUUGGUAACAAAAUUAUA
rnacentral:misc_RNA from 1 species